rnacentral:rRNA from 1 species
CUGGAGGUAUCAGAAGUGCGAAUGCUGACAUAAGUAACGAUAAAGCGGGUGAAAAGCCCGCUCGCCGGAAGACCAAGGGUUCCUGUCCAACGUUAAUCGGGGCAGGGUGAGUCGACCCCUAAGGCGAGGCCGAAAGGCGUAGUCGAUGGGAAACAGGUUAAUAUUCCUGUACUUGGUGUUACUGCGAAGGGGGGACGGAGAAGGCUAUGUUGGCCGGGCGACGGUUGUCCCGGUUUAAGCGUGUAGGCUGGUUUUCCAGGCAAAUCCGGAAAAUCAAGGCUGAGGCGUGAUGACGAGGCACUACGGUGCUGAAGCAACAAAUGCCCUGCUUCCAGGAAAAGCCUCUAAGCAUCAGGUAACAUCAAAUCGUACCCCAAACCGACACAGGUGGUCAGGUAGAGAAUACCAAGGCGCUUGAGAGAACUCGGGUGAAGGAACUAGGCAAAAUGGUGCCGUAACUUCGGGAGAAGGCACGCUGAUAUGUAGGUGAAGCGACUUGCUCGUGGAG